GUUUUUUUAGUUUUUUUUU
rnacentral:sRNA from 1 species